rnacentral:rRNA from 1 species
AUACGGAGGGUGCAAGCGUUACUCGGAAUCACUGGGCGUAAAGCGCGCGCAGGCGGCUUGAUAAGUUGGAUGUGAAAGCCUACGGCUCAACCGUAGAACUGCAUCCAAAACUGUCAAGCUAGAGUCUGGGAGGGGAAGAUGGAAUUAGUUGUGUAGGGGUAAGAUCCGUAGAGAUAACUAGGAAUACCAAAAGCGAAGGCGAUCUUCUGGAACAGUACUGACGCUGAGGCGCGAAAGCGUGGGGAGCAAACAGGAUUAGAAACCCCAGUAGUCC